UCGAGAAUCUUUCGCAAUGGGCGAAAGCCUGACGAAGCGACGCCGUGUGAGCGAAGAAGGCCUUCGGGUUGUAAAGCUCUUUCGCUAGGGAACAAGAGAGCCCGGUUAAUAAGCGGGUGAUUUGAUGGUACUUGGUAAAGAAGCACCGGCUAACUCCGUGCCAGCAGCUGCGGUAAUACGGAGGGUGCAAGCAUUGAUCGGAAUUACUGGGCGUAAAGGGCGCGUAGGCGGACCUAAAAGUCGGAUGUGAAAUUCCGGGGCUCAACCCCGGAGCUGCAUUUGAAACUUUAGGACUAGAGGAUAGUAAGGGAAAACAGAAUUCCACGUGUAGCGGUGAAAUGCGUAGAUAUGUGGAAGAAUACCGGUGGUGAAGACGGUUUUCUGUGCUAAACCUGACGCUGAGGCGCGAAAGCUAGGGGAGCAAACAGGAUUAGAUACCCCCGUAGUCC
rnacentral:rRNA from 1 species